UGGCAAGCCCCUCCGCUUUACUUUCCGGAACGCAAGACUGAAGUGAUUGAUAAGUGAAUCCCACAACUGUGAAAACCAGCACGAGACAAACGUGUGGCAAUAUUAAUCCUGCCAUGGCCAACACUCAAAGCACUGAAACCCUUGUUUUCAGUUUACAUACACAGUAAAACGCGAGACAUGUUCGUCUAGUUAGACGGCCGGGCAGCAGAAGGCGUCUGCAUGUACUUGGCGGUGUCUAGACCACGAGAGACUUUAUUGUCUAACUAGCUACGUAGUAGCUACAGAGGUAAAGACAAACUAAGGUCUAGAAAACUCGUUCAUUUUUACUCCCGAGCAGAGCGGACAUUCUCGAUCGAGUGACAAUGAAGACACUUUCCACUACUAGCGUUCUUCUUUUCCUUCAUCAGGUUUUCUUCACAUCGGCUAUUGCGACACAGAUGGGCAACGCGUCUAGUUAGAUUUAUUUCGGUGCUGGACGCGAGG